rnacentral:lncRNA from 1 species
UAACAUAAUUAAUUUAAAAAUAAUUAAACAAAUAAAUUAAUUUCGACUAGAAAACAAAUAUUAUUUUAAAUAUUAUUUACUAUUAUUAAUAUAUAGCUGGUAAACAAGAUUUUACCAAGAUUUUGUUUUUUAAAAAACAACGUUGCAAUAUCUUGUAAAAUCUAUUCGAGUUUUUACAAAAUACAUGAAAUGAACAAAUAAAUCUUCUUUUACAACAGAAAAUCACAACUGAGUUUUAGUUUCUUCAUCUUCCUUCUUUUCCAUGCUUUUUGCUUCCAUUAGUUUUUUUUCUUCUUGAAGACUUGUGAUCCAUUGGAUGAUAUCAUUGCACUUGAAGUUUCGCUCCAUAGAAUUUUGGUUAAAAAAAAAGGAUUAACUAUUUGAAAACUAAUAGAAAUUUUUGGUGAGAAUCAAAAUUAUCAUUUGUAAGUAGAUUUAGGAUAAAAUGAUAGAAUACCUUUAUUUUAUGCUUCUCCAAACUGUGCAGGAAAACACACGGUCCCAAACAAUCAGUUAAAUGCAUCUUUAAACUGAUUUUGGGCUGAUCUUAGAAUUUUUCACCAUAGAUUGCAGAGAAUAGAAGAAGAAGAAGAAGAAUGAAUGAUGAUUAAGAAAAGCAGAAAAACAAAGAAACACCUCACUUUUUAAAAGGUUAAGAAUUCAACAAGAUAUCAAAAAUUAAAUUGAAGAUAUUCUAACAUAGAAAAAAAAAGAUGGUGGGCGUAGAAGAAGGGAUUGU